rnacentral:rRNA from 1 species
CCUACGGGAGGCAGCAGUGAGGAAUAUUGGUCAAUGGCCGAGAGGCUGAACCAGCCAAGUCGCGUGAGGGAAGACGGCCCUACGGGUUGUAAACCUCUUUUGUCGGGGAGCAAAGCGAGUCACGUGUGACUCAUUGAGAGUACCCGAAGAAAAAGCAUCGGCUAACUCCGUGCCAGCAGCCGCGGUAAUACGGAGGAUGCGAGCGUUAUCCGGAUUUCUUGGGUUUAAAGGGUGCGUAGGCGGACUGGAAAGUCAGCGGUAAAAUUGAGAGGCUCAACCUCUUUCCGCCGUUGAAACUGUCGGUCUUGAGUGGGCGAGAAGUAUGCGGAAUGCGUGGUGUAGCGGUGAAAUGCAUAGAUAUCACGCAGAACUCCGAUUGCGAAGGCAGCAUACCGGCGCCCGACUGACGCUGAGGCACGAAAGCGUGGGUAUCGAACAGGAUUAGAUACCCGUGUAGUC